AGAGUUUGAUCCUGGCUCAGGAUGAACGCUAGCGGCAGGCUUAAUACAUGCGAGUCGAGGGGCAACAGGGGUAGCGAUACCUGCUGGCGACCGACAAACGGGUGCGCAACACGUACGAACCUGCCUGUUUGUGGGGAAUAACGCGCCGAAAGGCGUGCUAAUACCGCGUACGCUCAGCCUUCACUGGUUGAGGAAAGCCUUUGGGCGCAGACAGCGGGGCGUGCGGCCCAUUAGCUGGUUGGUGGGGUAACGGCCUACCAAGGCGACGAUCGGUAGCUGGUCUGAGAGGACGGCCAGCCACACGGGGACUGAGACACGGCCCCGACUCCUACGGGAGGCAGCAGCGAGGAAUCUUGGUCAAUGGGCGCAAGCCUGAACCAGCGACGCCGCGUGCAGGAUGAAGGCCCUCGGGUCGUAAACUGCUUUUGCGUGGGACGAAGAUCUGACGGUACCACGCGAAUAAGCCACGGCUAACUACGUGCCAGCAGCCGCGGUAAUACGUAGGUGGCGAGCGUUGUCCGGAUUUAUUGGGCGUAAAGCGCGCGCAGGCGGUGCAGCAAGUCCGGUGUGAAAGCUCCCGGCUCAACUGGGAGAGGUCAUUGGAGACUGCUGGACUGGAGGAUGGCAGAGGUCGGUGGAAUUCCCGGUGUAGUGGUGAAAUGCGUAGAGAUCGGGAGGAACACCAGUGGCGAAGGCGGCCGACUGGGCCAUACCUGACGCUGAGGCGCGAAAGCGUGGGGAGCGAACCGGAUUAGAUACCCUUGUAGUCC
rnacentral:rRNA from 1 species